UCAAAAACAUACGUGCUUAAACAAACACCUGCAUACACGUGUCGAGAACAUUAGCAAUGUUUUCAAGCAAUCACAAUAACAACGUGCAGGCUUGAUUGCACAACUAUUCUUAUGUUUCAGAUUUUCUUAAUUCUGUUAUAUGCAAAUAUUUCUAUACUCGACAUGUUCAUGUUCUAGUGUACUUCUUCGUAUUUAUUUGUUAUUUCUUUUGCAUCUGGUUAUUAACAUGUAGGGACAGUGUUUUGACUUCAUUUCUUUACUUAAUUAAAAUAUUGAAGUUCCCUAAUUAACCUUUAUUACCUCAUGCUGAAUCAACACAGGCCGUUUAUGUUAA